AGGCACUCACACGGGAAAACAAGGGAAUUCGUUUCAAGUUUUUGCAUAGGGCGCCGACCUGGAAAACAAGGGAAUACAUUUCAAGUUUCAGCAUUAGGCGCCGACCUGGAAAACAAGUGAAUACAUUGCAUGUUUUGGCAUCUGGCGCCCACCUAGAAAAAAAGGGUAUACAUUUAAAGUUUUUGCAUCAGGCACCCACCUAGAAAACAAGGGAAUACAUUUCAUGUUUUAGCAUCAGGCACUAACCUGGAUAACUAGGGAAUACAUUGCAAGUUUUGGCAUCUGGAACCCACCUGGAAAACAAGGGAAUACAUUGCAAGUUUUGGCAUCAGACACCCACUGGAUAACAAGGGAAUACAUUCCAUGUUUUGGCAUCAGGAUCCCACCUGGAAAACAAAGGGAUGCAUUUCAAGUUUCGGCAUCAGGCGCCCACUUGGAAAACAAGUGAAUAUAGGUUAAGUUUUGGCAUCAGGCGCCACCUGGAAAACAAUGGAAUACGUUUCAUGUUUUGGCAUUAGCUGGCCACCUGAAAAACAAGGGAAUAAAUUUCAAGUUUUGGCAUUAGGAACCCCUGGAACACAAGGGAAUACAUUUCAAGUGUCAGCAUCAGGCGACCACCUAGAAAACAAGGGAAUACAUUUCAUGUUAUGGCAUCAAGAACCCACCUGUAAACAAAAGAAUACAUUUCAAGUUUUGGCAUCAGGCGCCCACCUGGAAAACAUGGGAAUACAUUUCAAGUUUGGCUUCAGGCGGCCCCUUGGAAAACAAUGGAAUAUAUCUCAAGUUUUGGUAUUAGGCGCCCACCUGGAUAAUAAAGGAAUACAUUGCAUGUUUUGGCAUUAGACACCCACCUGGAAAACAAGGGAAUACAUUUCAAAUUUUUGCGUCGGGCGCCCACCUUGAAAACAUGGGAAUACAUUUCAAGUUUUGACACUAGGCGCCUACCUAGAAAAAAAGGGAAUGCAUUUCAAGUUUUUGCAUCGGGCGCCCACCUGGAAAACAAGGGAAUACAUUUCAAGUUUUGGGAUCAGGCGCUGACCUGGGAAAACAAGGGAAUACUUUUCAAGUUUUGGGAUCAGGCGCCCACCAUGAAUACUAGGGAACAUAUUUCAUGUUUUGGCAUCAGGCACCCACUUGGAAAAUAAGGGAAUACAUUUCAAGUUUUGGUAUCAGGCGCCCACCUGGAAAAUAAGGGAAUAUAUUUUAAGUUUUAGGAUCAGGCGCCCACCUAGAAAAAAGGGGAAUACAUUUCAAGUUUUUGCAUAGGGCGCCGACCUGGAAAACAAGGGAAUACAUUUCAAGUUUCAGCAUUAGGCGUCGACCUGGAUAAUAAGGGAAUACAUUGCAAGUUUUGGCAUCAGGCACCCACCUCGAAAACAAGGGAAUACAUUGAAAGUUUUGGCAUCAGGCGCCCACCUGGAUAAUAAAGGAAUACAUUGCAUGUUUUGGCAUCAGACACCCACCUGGAAAACAAGGGAAUACAUUUCAAAUUUUUGCGUCGGGCGCCCACCUGGAAAACAUGGGAAUACAUUUCAAGUUUUGACAUUAGGCGCCCACCUAGAAAAAAAGGGAAUACAUUUCAAGUUUUGGCAUCAUGCACCCACCUGGAAAAUAAGGGAAUACAUUUCAAGUUUUGGCAUCAGGCGCUCACCUGGGAAAACAAGGGAAUAUGUUUCAAGUUUCGGGAUCAGGCGCCCACCUGGAAAACAAGGGAAUACAAUUGAUGUUUUGGCAUCAGGUGCCCACUUGGAAAAUAAGGGAAUACAUUUCUAGUUAGUUUUGGUAUCAGGCGCCGACCUGGAUAACAAUGGAAUACAUUGAAAGUUUUGGCAUCAGGCGCCGACCUGGAUAACAAUGGAAUACAUUGAAAGUUUUGGCAUCAGGCGCCCACCUGGAUAAUAAAGGAAUACAUUGCAUGUUAUGGCAUUAGACACCCACCUGGAAAACAAGGGAAUACAUUUAAAAUUUUUGCGUCGGGCGCCCACCUGGAAAACAUGGGAAUACAUUUCAAGUUUUGACAUUAGGCGCCCACCUAGAAAAAAAGGGAAUACAUUUCAAGUUUUUGCAUCGGGCGCCCACCUGGAAAACAAGGGAAUACAUUUC
rnacentral:lncRNA from 1 species